AGGCCGGUGGUCGGUGCUGGGUGCCGGUGCGGGCCGGCGGCGGGGAGCGGGGGGUGUGGACAUGUGACGCCGCGGUCAUGGGUUGCUUGGUGCGGGCUCCGGAGCAUCCCGGGGGGAAGGGGUAGGAGUAGGGACUGCGGGUGGGGCCGGCCCUGGCUGUCGUGGGCGAGGAGCCCCGAGCGGCCCGGGAGCUGUGCGGGUGUCUCCCGCUGCCUUCCAGCGCUGGCCGCGUUUAUCCUGCUUAGGCCUGUUUCGGCCGUGUAAUUACGGGAACGUUGUUCGUCAUGGGCGUGUUGGAGGGUUUUGCUAAAGUUUCCCUAGGCCGUCUGGAGCAGAAGCUGUCAAGUGCCUGGUGAGGUGGAGGUUGGGGGGAAUUAUGUCAGUGUGGGAGCGCUUCCCCUUUUGCACGGUGCUUCUGUGGGUGGGAUUUGGACGUUGAAGUGAAGCCUCUAAGUGAGGAAAGUAGAGCAAUGUAAGAAGAUGGUCUUCUCUCUGUAGGUGGGUGAUGCCAAGCACAGCCAUGAAGAAAAAGGUGCUGCUGAUGGGUAAAAGUGGGUCUGGGAAGACCAGCAUGAGGUCCAUUAUCUUUGCAAACUACAUCGCCAGGGACACACGGCGCCUGGGUGCCACAAUUGAUGUGGAGCACUCCCAUGUUAGAUUUCUAGGAAACCUGGUAUUAAACCUCUGGGACUGCGGAGGACAGGACACCUUUAUGGAGAACUACUUCACCAGUCAGCGGGACAACAUCUUCCGCAACGUAGAAGUCCUCAUCUAUGUCUUUGAUGUAGAGAGCCGUGAACUGGAGAAGGACAUGCACUACUACCAGUCAUGCUUGGAGGCAAUUCUUCAGAACUCUCCUGAUGCAAAGAUCUUCUGUCUAGUGCACAAGAUGGACUUGGUGCAGGAGGAUCAGCGUGAUUUGAUUUUUAAAGAGCGUGAGGAAGACUUGAAGCGCCUUUCCCGUCCCUUGGAAUGUGUUUGUUUUAGAACUUCCAUCUGGGAUGAAACACUUUACAAGGCAUGGUCCAGUAUAGUCUAUCAGCUGAUCCCCAAUGUCCAGCAGCUGGAAAUGAACCUGAGGAACUUUGCUCAGAUCAUCGAGGCAGAUGAAGUGCUUCUGUUUGAGAGAGCCACUUUCCUGGUCAUUUCUCACUAUCAGUGCAAAGAACAGCGGGAUGUCCACAGAUUUGAGAAAAUCAGCAACAUUAUUAAACAAUUCAAGCUAAGUUGCAGUAAGCUGGCAGCUUCUUUCCAGAGCAUGGAGGUCAGGAACUCUAACUUUGCUGCUUUCAUUGACAUCUUUACAUCAAAUACAUAUGUGAUGGUGGUGAUGUCAGACCCCUCAAUACCUUCUGCAGCUACGCUGAUAAACAUCCGCAAUGCCAGAAAACACUUUGAGAAGCUGGAGAGAGUGGAUGGACCAAAGCACAGCCUGCUCAUGCGCUGAACGCUGGCCAAGGCACACGGUCUUUGGGGGGAGAAAAAAUGAAUUGGAACUACUUAUUUUUAGGAGAAUCUAACAAUGUUGAUGUCUUUGUUGGGCUUUGAAAUGAGUGUGCUGCUUUAUUUUUUCUCCUUUUAACGUUGGACACUAGUCACUCGGAGGAUGUCUGGAUACACUGCGGACCUUCAAAAGAGACUUCCCUGGCGUAUGUGGGGUUGGGAAGAAGUAAGGACAGGUGAUGUGCACGUGAUCUCGUACUCCUGGUUGUCAUGGUGGCACAUGGCAGAGCCGUUUUGGAUGUUUUGCUCCCGGGUGAUCGUAUAAGUCACAGGAAUGGAAUAUUUACUGUUUUAUUGGUUGGUUGCUAGAAUACGUUUAUAAAUUUCUCCUUGUCUUCAGUCAUGAAAAUAAAUUUUUGCUACCAGGGAUUUCAAAUCCUAGAGCUUUGGAAAGUGGGUUUUCUUUCUUCUAAAACCUAGGGCAGCUUUGGCAAGCUGCAUUUCUCCUUCCACGGUAUUGGGAGGUCAUUGAAGGCCAUUCCAGAGUUUCAUUUAAGAUAAUUUCCCCCGCUCCAGCCUGACGUGGAGGCAAAAUGCACUCAGCGGGUGAAGCAGUCAGGCUGGCAUUGGCCUCUUGACACUUGCCAAAGUGAUGGAAAGACCAUGGUAAAUAAAAGGGGCCAAAGACCCUAGUUGACCAAGCAGCGAGAUGGUCCUGGCAUGCCUGGUCUUCAUCCUCGUGAUCCAGGAGGGGCUGGCAUGGGCACAGAGGAGCCCCAGAACGUGUGAUGGGUGGUGUGUGCAUGAGCUAUAUUAGCUGUGUUUGCGAUGAGCCAGUUGGACAGUGUUUGGCACCGAUGUUACUUGACGCUACUGUCUAUUUUUUUAAUGAAUUUUUUGUGUGCAUUUCCAUUAAACAUGGGAACAACAAAAGCAGUGUGAGUUAGGGGAAUCUCUGGCUUGCUGGGUGGGAGCUGAUGCUUGCCAGCAUCUCUCUUGCUGCAUCGAAUUACUAUAUAAAAAAGGGUGUGGUGACUCUGAGCCUAGCUCUCCGCUUUGUAUUCUCAAAAUCAUGCUUUUCCCCCCUGUAUCCCUGCCCACACACGCACUGGGGAGGGUGGGAAAAAUCUGAUGGGGUGAGCCCGUUACAUGAGAACGGGGAGCUAAAGGGCACCUCUCGGCUGGAGAGCUGAGGGUGGGCUCCGCACAAAGUCUUCCAUCAAUUCCCAAUCUUUACGGCAUUAAACACCCGUGUCUUGCACCGCCUGCUCAGCAGAUGCGUUGGUGCUCUGUCAGGCUGGGUGUGUUUUCAGUGAGAAUCCUCAAGUCAGCAUCCCCGUGGGAGAGGAACUUGCCGAGAUUCCUAUUAACGAUUUGGGUGCUGGAGUUUCUGGAGAGCUUGGAAACGGGCUGGAGAUGCAGCAGAGGGUUUCCAUUUGUCUUUGGUGCUUGCAGGUGUGGAAUACGGUCCCGGUCCUGGAGCGGGAAUAGCAAAUCUUGCCCAUGGUCACUUUUGUCUGACGUUGGGCUGGAGCAAGCUGAAAUGUGACUCCAGUUCCCUCUUGCGGAUGCUGCCCCACCACUUGGACAAGGUCAGUCCCUGCUUUUGCUCUGGUACAGCGGAGAAACUUCAUGGCUUUCUGCACUCAAACCCUGCCCUCAGUGCUGUUGAGCAGAGCAAGAGGAUGAGUCUCUGCUGAUCCAUAUGUUGUCGGAGCCUUGGGAACAUCACCUCUGAGGGAUUACUGGGAAGGGCUCUGCUUGCUGGAGAUGGGCAGCUGUUGUGGCUUCAGGAGAGCAGAAGAUGGUUUAUGGCCACAAUUCUGGUGCAGAUUGAAGCACCUUCUGCUGCAACAGAGAUGCUGCUGGCGUUGCUCUGUGUGCAUGCUGUCAGGCGACUGCCCUUGACAUUGCUGAGCAGCAAGGCUUGGUGGAUCAGGCUCCAGCACCUUUGCCCUACCUUCUGGAAGACUUAGCCCCUUACUCUGGUGGCUCUAUCAAAAAAAAAAACAAAACUAAACAACUUGAUGCCUGCUCCAGAUGUUGCUUUUACAAACAUACUCAUGUGCGAGUCUGGCCCCAAAGAGCCAAACCGUACAAUCUCAAUGAGAUGGCAGAGGUC